ACGUUGCAGUUAUAACAUCACGAUGAAGUGACUUAAAUUAUCAACUACUCCACCCAAUAUUAUGUUUAACUAUUCUACGAAACUAUGGCAUUUAACAUGCAACAAUUGCGACGGUAACGAGCAAGUCACGAUCAAUUAUUAUAUAUGCGAUCAUGAUUAUAAAACUAUCGCUGUCUCAUUACAUUGGAUUUUAUAACAGAUCGAUAUAAUGUGUGCAUAAAAUACAAUUAUAGUAAUCCGCAUUUAGAUUCCGAACGGACCAGAGAAGCUGUUACAGUAUUCCCAUAUGCUUGUGUUUCCUAGGGAACACUUUUCCGCUUAGUUAAAAUUUGUUUACGCAUCAACUCGAAAUAUGGAGAUUGCAGGCCGAUGGUAUUUUAUUUAAACCGUUCCACGAGAUGUUCACCCCUAGGUUCUAUUGUUUUAGUUUUUAGUUUUUUUCUCAGAAAUCCAUUUUCAGAUUAUAAUAAAGGUCCAAAUUAUUCGCUCUGUACUUUAAACGAUGUGGUAAUCAUUAAUUGAAAAAAAUCUGUUUUAUUUUUUAUUUAUUCCCGAGUUACCGCUAACAAUAUUUACUUCACUCAGAAUCAUUCGUUCCUUUACAGUGAUUUAUUCUUUUAAACAUUACAUAAACUCAAUGACCAUGUAUAUCCUACCUUCUCAAUAAUUAUGUUCACCAACCGUGACCUGCCGACCACCGUGAAUCGUAUCAUCUUUUAUUCGAUUUGUAUUAAAAACUCUAAUAAUUAAUCUCCGUAUUAUUGCA